ensembl:lincRNA Gm26862 predicted gene, 26862
AGUGAGUGAUUCUGAACUGGGCUGCCAUAAAGAAGAAGGCAGAGACCUACCUGCCUGUUGCUUCUGUCUCCCUCCAGCUGUUGGGAGGUCAGUGUGCCUGGGCUGGCUGCUUUUGGAAAGUCCUUUCUUUAUCUCUUUCCCACUUGGCAGCUCUCCUUAGUUCUGGGACAUUUGCCACCAUGGUACUGCCAGGAAGGAAUCUGGCCUUGUCCUGUUCCAUUUCUCUUUGUUUCCAAGAGGGAGCUCCGCUUCCACCUGCUGUGUGACAUCACCCACUGUGGGAUCCCUGCAUGAGAGUUGGAAAUCACACUGUCAGAUGGUCACACCUCCAGCUACAAGAGGUUCAAGUUCUUCCUGGGUUAUAAGAUGGCAAACCAUCCACAUAGAGACCCAAGUUAACUUGUGAGUGAGCUGUCUUCAAGGAGCUUACAAGUCUUGAAUGUUCAGACAGGAGCUUAGCAUGCUGGCUUCUGAAGUGCUUCAUCCAGCAGCUGACUCAGACAGAUGUAGACACCAACAGCCAAACAUUGGAUGGAACAUGGGGACUCUUAUGGAAGAAGACUAGGAAGAAGGAUUGUGGGUUCCUGAGGGAAUAGGAAUUCCUCAGGAAGACCAACACAGUCAACUAACCCUUGGGCCUCUCUGAGACUGAGCCACCAACCAAAGAACAUACAUGGGCUGAACCUAGUCCUCCAGCACAUAUGUAUCAGGUGUGCAGCUUGGUCUUCAUGUGGUUCCUGAACAACUGGAGCAGGGGGCUAUCCCAAAAGCUAUUGCCAGUAUGUGGAAUAUGUUCUUCUAGUUGGGCUGCCUUGUCUCUCCUCAGUGGGAGUGGGUGUGCCUAACCUGGCAGAGACUUAAAGUACCAGGUGAGGUGACACCCAAGGGAGGCCAGACUCUCUCAGAGGAGAAGUGAAAGAACACAUGAUGAAGGAUUCUUCCCUAACAACAUGCAUGCAUUGGUCCACCUUACAUUAUGUAGUUGAGUUCCAUUUGUUGGGACUCCUUAGAUAUAAAAGCAUCAAAAACUUCUGGUGGUGUGCCAUGGCUUCUUGCUGCUUCUGGGCACUUGGGCUGAUUGGCAGAGUGAUGAUAGGUGACACACACAUGUGUUGUGGCAAGACAUGUGGUGAGGCAAGACCAGUGGAGGACAUGUGAUAUUUGGAGAGAGUAUAAGAAGAACUCGAAAGACAGUGACAGAAGCUGAUCUUGGGUUGCUUGCAGAUCAAAGCUUGUUGGGGUUGAGACUUGGCUGAUCUUCACUUGGCUGAGAGAUGGGCAGCCCAGAACUUUUCCUGGUGUUCCUCUUGGCUCUUGGUCCCUCUUGCUGACUCAUGCAGAGGCUGUCUCUGCAUGGUAGUGCUACUCAUGCCUCUGGCUGUCUCUGCUAGGUAGUGCUACUGCUGCUGAUUUGUGGUUUGCUAUCCCAACUCUUUGGAACUGGACUGCUGGUGUAUCCGUGAAGUGUUUGCGAGUGGAUUGAACUGCUGCUGACCUGUGAACUGAGUUGCUGAAUUCCAGACAACACAGAUGAAGUGAGGGCUGUCUCAGAUUCUGUUGCCUGCCAUUGGAUCCCCUUUGUCUAGCUAGACUCAUCGGUUGGAUGAUGAGUCCAGGGUUGGGAUGUACCCAAGGUGUGUGUGUGUGUUUCCCUUUCUCUGAGGAGAUGGGAAGGCAUAAUGUGGGGGAGGGACUUGUGAGGGUAGACCUGUGAGGGGGGGGGGCUGCACCUGGGAUAUAAAGUGAAUAAAAAAAUAAGGGGAAUAAUGUAAAAUCAAUAACAAAUAUUCUAACUUCAAGAAGAGAGUUGUAACAACCGUUUUCCUCCUAGCCAUACUCAAAAUAAUAACUCCAAAAGAGAAGCAGUGCAAACAGCUGAAUUUAGCAUAAUUGGAUGAUAUGACUUUCACCUUAUUGGAGUGGAGUGAAAACACCAAGAUUGAUGCAAAUUUACUGCCAAGUUAACAUAAAAAUCCUCAUAGUGAAAAGGUAACAAACCGCCCCGAAGCAUCGCUUUAGUGAGAAUGCUGACAGGCUUCAUGAGCACAGUCCAUCUGAGACUAAUUUGAGACUCUCUUCUGAAGAAGAAAUCUGGAAAUCCAUUGAAAUCUUAUCCUUCCAUUAUGAAAGAAAAUGAUGGAGGUUUAAACAUGUGUAAUGCCAGUUAUAAAAUAAAAUUCAUGCUGCUAUUGAC